rnacentral:ncRNA from 2 species
CUCUUAUCCAGAGAGGUGGAGGGACUGGCCCGAUGAAACCCGGCAACCUGUAUUUAAUAUGAGGUGCUAAUUCCUGCAGUAAUCUGAUAGAUAAGAG